rnacentral:rRNA from 1 species
ACGCUCGACACCUACGUGAGGCAGCAGUGGGGAAUAUUGCACAAUGGGGGAAACCCUGACGCAGCGACGCCGCGUGGAGGAAGAAGGUCUUCGGAUUGUAAACUCCUGUUGUUGGGGAAAAAGAGGAUGGUACCCAACAAGGAAGUGACGGCUAACUACGUGCCGGCAGCCGCGGUAAUCUGAGCGGGCUGGCAAGGC